rnacentral:rRNA from 1 species
CGUAGGUGGCAAGCGUUGUCCGGAAUUAUUGGGCGUAAAGCGCGCGCAGGUGGUUUCUUAAGUCUGAUGUGAAAGCCCACGGCUCAACCGUGGAGGGUCAUUGGAAACUGGGGAACUUGAGUGCAGAAGAGGAAAGUGGAAUUCCACGUGUAGCGGUGAAAUGCGUAGAGAUGUGGAGGAACACCAGUGGCGAAGGCGACUUUCUGGUCUGUAACUGACACUGAGGCGCGAAAGCGUGGGGAGCAAACAGGAUUAGAUACCCUGGUAGUCCACGCCGUAAACGAUGAGUGCUAAGUGUUAGAGGGUUUCCGCCCUUUAGUGCUGCAGCUAACGCAUUAAGCACUCCGCCUGGGGAGUACGGCCGCAAGGCUG